ensembl:lncRNA
CUGGCGGGCAAAGGCUGUUUUUCUAGGUCUAUAGGUAUUUUUUUGUGUGUGUGGGGGGGGGGGGGGGGGGGUGGGGGGGGGGGGGGGGGGGGGGGGGGGAGUAUAGAAUAGGCAGCCUUCUUCUAAAGGGAAGAUAACAAUAGUGUCUGUCCCUCCCUACUGCUUCUAUUCUAUCAAGGAGAAUAAUGAUUAUCAGCAGGUAGCCUGUAUGUUAACAUAAACAUGACUAAUCAAUCAAUCGAUCAAUCAAGGUUUUUUUUUUAACAGUUAGAAAAUAUUAAAAGGCUAAAGCCUACAAACACAUCUUACCUUCCACAGAAGUGCUGGUGAGAUUGGACAAUUGUUUUUUAAUUGGCUAUAAUAAAACAUGAUAGUCUUUAUUCUUCCAUUGUAGGGAUGUCUUUUUUUUGCUGCCUUACCAUUUGGCUUGUAUCGAACAUUGGGUAUUGAGGGGUCUGUGGGGAUUGAGCACGUGACAGUGACAGCAUAUUUUAUAGGAUCUCAAGGAAAAACUGUUUAUUUUUACUUGCUACGUUAGGUUACACUGUACUACAUCUGCGCUGAUACGGCGAGAGCGGAUUUGUCGAACGUCACAACUGCUCUGCUCAGGCUUUCUGAAUAGAGAAAAUUGGCCAAAUUAAACAUUGAGAGCUACCCAAACGCUUGAGACAUGAAGAAACAUCGAUGAACUGGUCGUUUUUUUUAGAGUAAUGCAAGCAGCCUUCCUUCAACGAGUUCACCUGUAUUGCGGUUAGUCGCGCGCCAAGCAUACAAGAACCGAUUCAUCCAGUGGAUGCAGCCGUACUGGCUCCACCAAAAGGAGGACAAUACACAGACAUAAAACAGGUAAGACAAUGGACAUGUGUAUCACACAGAGAGCUAAAUGAAAUCAAGCUGUUUCCUGAACCUGUAGUGUGUUUGUUGGUGAACUGACGGACACAACAUUGCCAGUCAUCAUUGUCUGUCAGCCAGAACAAGCAGAGCACUUGCAGCACUAUUCCCUGCUGUUGAUGCGAGCAGCAGCAGCAGAAGCAGCAGUGAGAAUGGCUCCAGGUUAUGAAUGUGGCAUUUGAAAUGG